UUUUUAUAAAUUUUAUUUGGUAGAUUUUUGUAAUAUAGAAUUAUAUUUGUUGAUGGUAUUUUCUAGUAUGUUAGCUAAGGAUAAUAAAUAAAUGAAAUUGAAAGAAAGAACAACUAUAACCUGCAACCAAAAAAAUACGAUAAGAAGAUGUCAGAAUUGUCACUCUGGGGCACACUUCAAACUCAAGUUAAUAUAUUGCCAGAGGUAUGUUAUGGGAAUAAGGCAAAGAAAAUGGAAAAGAUGGUAAAG
rnacentral:lncRNA from 1 species